rnacentral:lncRNA from 1 species
AGAGUUAUUUCGUCGGCGAUGGAUCUAUUUACGGACAGUCCUUGUGCCGGUGCGAUGUGUUGGUGCAGUCGAGUAGGUAUUGUUACCGGGCCGCGACGGGCCCGCAAGUGUCUUGCACGACAAACUUGGCUCGCGUACAGUUUGGCUCCCAAAGUUACGAAUAUUUCGCAGGAGACAGCAUCUGAGCUGAAAAAAAGAAAAAACCAAGCAAAACAAAAUUUAAGUACAAGGAUUGGUAGAGAGCAACAGCUGAGUAAAUAGAUUUUGAACAUUGGAUUGAUUGAAACAAUUAAGCAUAAAUAUGGAUGUUAACACCAAGCCUUGCUUUGCAGGCAAAACGCAUGGUAGAUGCAGAUGAAGGUUAGCCAAGGCAGCAUUUAAAAUCUGCGAAAGCAGUAAAAAUUCUGUGCGUCUUCUCGGUUUGAUAUGAGAAUAUACUACAUAAUGCAGAUUUCUGACAUCACCCUGAUCACAAACCGGUUUCUACUCUACCGACUGCUUCUUUAUGCUUCAGCCAAAUGCUUUUUCUAGGGCACAAUACGUUCUGUUAAAUGGACUGUUCAGCAUACUCCAACCUGGGUUUAGCAUGAUGCUGCUGUUUACGCAACGGCCAAUUCAGUUUCUGUGUGAAAUCCGUUUUACUCCUAUGUGAAUUUGACUAGAAAAUGUUUUAUCCCUAAAGUGGACUUCGUUGUAACAUUGGUUUAUCCCCAAGUGUACAAUGUUAGAAAAGUGAUUCGGCCUGGACUGAACUAUUCAGUCAAGGGCGCACUCUGUCUAGAUGCUCUGCAUAGGCUCAACAUAAUAGUAAAAACACCUAGACGCCAGUUCAGAUUUUGCAUAUUUUUUCGGUUGAUACUUGCAACAAGCUCUUGCCCUUUCCAACAAGAUAACCUGAUCACCUAACCACCAGUAUUCAUUUUUCUAGUUUGAGUUCUCGGUGGUAUUUCGGUUUUCCUUAAAAUAUGAAGGAUUGGCCCUUGUUCAUUAUCUUGAGAUCGAACAAAUUUCUAGAAAAAUUGGAACAAUCUAAAUUGCAUUUACAGCAUUUCUGCUGUGAAUAGCAGAAAAAGAUUUACCAACACAACAUUCCUGAUACCAAUGAAAUCAUUUCGCUGCAGAGUUACGACACAGAUAAAUGCUAAUGAACUAUUAUGUGAAGCCUCACUGAAAAAUGAGUGCUAACAAAAAACACUGAUCAAUAUUCAUAGAGGUGUUGUUAGCUAAGUUGACGGUUGUGUACUUUCCGUUUGCAAGUGUUUUCGCGUCACUACUAUCCACACGAAAGCAUCCGACUCUCGCAGAAGCUAGAAUACAAACUUAGAUAAGUUUUUUAAUACUUUCAAAUCUUGUAACAUUUUAAUUUUAGCCACACAGAAAUCACAACCACAUCAAAGUCGCAAAUCAUAACUGAUAAGUAGUUUUUAACGAUACGAUCAUGAGGCGGAUGUUUUCAAAGUGGAUAGUAGUGAACGCCGCUUUGUGCAGAGGCCCCACUUUAUUGUUGGCGCUUGCAAACCAAAAGUAAACAACUGUCAAAUUAGCUGACGACACCUCUAGACAAGAUAUAAAAAAGUAUUUAAGAAUAAAAAAGAAGGAUGGAAGAGGCUUACUGGUGUCUGAGGCGGGGCUGUUACCACCAUCUUGAACAAGAUCAGAAAUUUUAUCAUCAGUUAACCAAGGAUUCUGGACAUGGAAAAGAAGCAACAAAAAAAGAAUGAGUUUUGAUGAUGAACUGAAAAUUGCUAUCCCUGGUUUGCACUUGAAAGCUACUUACAUCAUUUGAUGUACAUCGCUUUACUAUGGUGCGAUGGAAAAACAGGCACACAACUUUGUUGGAAAGUGAGCAAGUAUUUCUUGCGAUCAAAAUGUAUUUUGCUCACUGAGCCACUGGUUGAUUUAUGAUUAAUAAAUGAUAAAAUGGAAAUGAAGUAUCGAAAUGAAUUAUACGUGAGAGUUUGAAGAUCUGAGGUUAUGAUCUAAAACUGGGGAAAGAAAAGAAGAGACAAAUGUCACCUCCAAAGAUUGUACCAUUCAACAGAUAAGGGGUUUUCUUCUUCUGAUUGGUGAAACCACCGGUGGAAUUCCUGUAAGAAAUUGCUCGCGAUCAGUCGGAAGUUUAAGAACGCACUUUCCACCAAUGUAAACAAAUGGGUUUCUUCCUCUUUUCAAACUUUUACCGCAAUGAUACUGCAAUAGUGCAAAUAAUACUCAAUGUACCAGCAUUAACUUCUUUUCUGUCAUAAUUAAAGUACGAGGAAAAAUAACACUAAAAAAUAUUACAUAGUUUCUUUAUAUUUUCGUAUACAGCCCUCCACACAAGCAGCAUUGCUUACUGGAGGGUCUUGCCAGUUUAA